rnacentral:tRNA from 1 species
UGCAGAUGUAGCUCAGUGGCAGAGCACUUGCCUACCAUGUGCGAGGCCCUGGAUUUGAUCCCAAGCAUUGCAA